AUACCAGCGCCACAAGUGGUAACCACAAUUAUUGGGCCUAAAGCGUUCGUAGCCGGUUUUGUAAAUCUUCUGUGAAAUGGUUAAGCUUAACUUAACCAACUGCAAGAGAGACUGCAAGACUUGGAACCGGGAGGAGUCAGAAGUAUUUCUGGGGGAGCGGUAAAAUGUUACAAUCCCAGAAGGACUACCUGUGGCGAAGGCGUCUAACUAGAACGGGUCUGACGGUGAGGGACGAAAGCUAGGGGAGCAAUCCGGAUUAGAUACCCGAGUAGUCC
rnacentral:rRNA from 1 species